UACAGAGGGGGCUAGCGUUGUUCGGAAUUACUGGGCGUAAAGGGCGCGUAGGCGGCUUCUUAAGUUAGGAGUGAAAUCCCAAGGCUUAACCUUGGAAUUGCUCUUAAUACUGGGAGGCUAGAGACCGGUAGGGGAUAGUGGAAUUCUUAGUGUAGGAGUGAAAUCCGUAGAUAUCGGGAGGAACACCAGUGGCGAAGGCGACUACCUGGCCUGUUCUUGACGCUGAGGCGCGAAAGCUAGGGGAGCAAACGGG
rnacentral:rRNA from 1 species